GCCCUUAUAGCUCAGUGGUAGAGCGCAUCACUCGUACCGCCUAAGCAUACGUAAUGAUGAGGUCUGUCGUUCAAUCCGGCAUGAGGGCA